GGGAACCCGGGCCCCGAGUCGCACGCUCACCACAAUCCAGGUCUCUCUGUAGCUGCCUGUGCAGCUUCUCCAGGUCCCAUGGCCCCUGCAGCUCCCUGGCCCUUGUCUUCCUCCUCUGUGGCCUUUGGAGGUUGUUGAAGCUAGGCCUGCUCCCCUGGCUCUGGCCCUGCAGUUCCCCUUCAUCCGAGGCCUCCUCUCCGGAAAUCUGCCCCUUUUUCUGACAACCAGCCCUCCUUCUGCAGGGAGCCCUGUGCUCUCCCUCCUCAGCCUCCUCUGUGGCCUCUGAGAAUUGCUCCUCCUCUGAGAUGGACCCCCUCCUGGGGCGCUGGGGCGGCUCCCCAGAACUCAGACCCCUCUCAGCCUCCUCAGCACCCAGGCCUAGCAGCUGGACCUGCUUGUCGGACGCCGAUCCUGAUCCUGGCCUCCUCCCAGGCGGCUGGAGGCCACACUCACUGGGGGGCUCCGGUCCUAGCUCCCCUUUGCCAGGAGGGAUGGAGACACCACCCCAGGCUCCCAGCUGUUGUCUCGCCUUCAGGUUUUGCACCUCUGUCUUCCGGCAGCAGCCAUAGGCCUCUGGGAGGUUGGCCGUGGACUUGCGCCUGGACUGGCGCUGGGAGGAUGAGGAGGGCAUGGGCAGGGCUUGGUGGCCUGGGGUUGGGGAACUUGGCUGAAGCACAGCCCGGACAUCUGUGGCGAUGCUCUCCCAGGCCCACUGGAAGGGGAAGGAGGGCUUCCGAGGAGGAAGGCGGAAGAGACUGAGAAAGGACAGGGUGGGGUCAGGGUCGGCACCAGCCCCCAGAGGGCCCUGACCCCCAGCACCCUCCUGACCCAUCCCACUGCUCCUUACUCUUCAGCCUCUUCAGAGCCCUGUCCUUUCUUGCUCUGGCCCCUGGGCUUGCGGUCCUUCUUUGCUGUCUUCCUUGAGCUCUGAGACCUCCACUGCAGGUCCUGAUUUGGCACACCAUCACCACUCCCCAGGCGGCCCUGGGCAGAGACAUUAGGGGAGGAGCAGCCAGCUCAAGCAGCCUCCUGGACUGUGUUGCACCUCACCCGGGUGCCCUCCUCUUCUGUGCACCUGGCUGGGCCUGGCUGGGCCCCUCUGGGCCCUCAUUACCGUAAAAACCAACUAAACAGGGCAGGGUGCGGUGCUCACGCCUGUAAUCCCAGCACUUUGGGAGGCCAAGGGGGGCGGAUCACCUGAGGCCAGGAGUUUGAGACCAGCUUGGCCAACAUGGUGAAACCCCGUCUCUACUAAAAAUACAAAAAAAAAAAAAAAAA
rnacentral:lncRNA from 1 species